rnacentral:tRNA from 1 species
CCACUUCUCAGUUGGUAGAGCACAAGGCUCUUAACCUUGUGGACGUGGGUUCAAGCCCCAUGGUGGG